GGUCAAUAUCGAUUUCAGCCAAUCAAAUUCGUGAAUUCGGUAGUUCCCAGUCCUUGUGAGACAGCGAUAUAAUCAAUUAGAAUACAAGCAAAUUGUGGCAGUUCGGUAGGCUUCCAUGCAGUUUCUACUGUUUUGAUUCUGUCUAUAGAACGUUAGGUUGACGUAUCGGUUCUCGAAAACCUGUAUGGUUUGCUCUGUUUUGUCUACUAUAGGUUCCAAAGGGAGUUGUUUCACACAGCCGCUCACACAAAUAUCAACUCUGGACCUCAAAGCAGACUUUGGCAGUGGUCAUGGAUUCAGUCGAUGCCGAUCAUGUCGCCAUUGUAAAUUGUAAAUAUAAAAAUAAAGGACACUCUUCAAACUC